GUCUAUCCUGCCCACUGAGAAAAUUAAAGGGCCGCGGUAAAUUAACUGUGCAAAGGUAGCAUAAUCAUUAGUUUUUUAAUUGAAGGCUUGUAUGAAUGGUUGGACAAGAAUUAAACUGUCUUUGUGUUUAAAAAUUUAAUUUUACUUUUAAGUGAAAAGGCUUAAAUAAAUUUAAGGGACGAUAAGACCCUAUAAAUCUUUAUGAUAAAAUUUUUGAUUUUUAAAAUAAUAGUUAAAAUAAGAAUCAGAAGAGAAAUCAUUGUGCUGGGGCGGUAGUAAUAUAUAAAUAAACUGUUAAAAUUUUUUACAAAGUUGUUUGUAGAGUAGAAGGUCUUAAAUAAAAAUAAAAAGUUUAAGUUACUUUAGGGAUAACAGCAUAAUUUCUUUUGAGAGUUCUAAUCGAAAAAGAAUUUUGUGACCUCGAUGUUGAAUUAAAAUUUCUAUAUGGUGCAGAAGUUAUAAAUAGAGUAGUCUGUUCGACUAUUAAAAUUUUACAUGAUUUG
rnacentral:rRNA from 1 species